rnacentral:rRNA from 1 species
CAGCAUCCGCGGGAAUACGUAGGUGGCAAGCGUUGUCCGGAAUUAUUGGGCGUAAAGGGCUCGCGGGCGGUUUCUUAAGUCUGAUGUGAAAGCCCCCGGCUCAACCGGGGAGGGUCAUUGGAAACUGGGAAACUUGAGUGCAGAAGAGGAGAGUGGAAUUCCACGUGUAGCGGUGAAAUGCGUAGAGAUGUGGAGGAACACCAGUGGCGAAGGCGACUCUCUGGUCUGUAACUGACGCUGAGGAGCGAAAGCGUGGGGAGCGAACAGGAUUAGAUACCCCUGUAGUCCCUGUCUCUUAUAC